CUACGGGUCGCAGCAGUGGGGAAUAUUGCACAAUGGGCGCAAGCCUGAUGCAGCCAUGCCGCGUGUAUGAAGAAGGCCUUCGGGUUGUAAAGUACUUUCAGCGGGGAGGAAGGGAGUAAAGUUAAUACCUUUGCUCAUUGACGUUACCCGCAGAAGAAGCACCGGCUAAGUCCGUGCCAGCAGCCGCGGUAAUACGGAGGGUGCAAGCGUUGAUCGGAAUUACUGGGCGUAAAGCGCACGCAGGCGGUUUGUUAAGUCAGAUGUGAAAUCCCCGGGCUCAACCUGGGAACUGCAUCUGAUACUGGCAAGCUUGAGUCUCGUAGAGGGGGGUAGAAUUCCAGGUGUAGCGGUGAAAUGCGUAGAGAUCUGGAGGAAUACCGGUGGCGAAGGCGGCCCCCUGGACGAAGACUGACGCUCAGGUGCGAAAGCGUGGGGAGCAAACAGGAUUAGAUACCCCCGUAGUC
rnacentral:rRNA from 1 species